UCACGCCAGCCGUGAGGAAGAAUUAAAAGGGAAUCCUGUGAAAAUCAGGGACUAUCCCCGUAGCUGUAAGUUUUACUCCUUAUAAUGGGAGAAUGUUGUAACAAUCUAUUUGCCACUGGUUUAAAAAGCCGGGAAGGUGUUGCAACUGAAACAAGUCAGAAGACCUGCCGUAUCAAUC
rnacentral:ncRNA from 1 species